AACCAUUAGACUGAGAAUCAACAAUCAGUUUAGAUCGAUAAGAUCUAUUCACUUGGAAAUUGUGCUAAAUGUAGGCUACAUGUACUUAAUCAUUUGCAAAGAUGUACUGAGACAUUGAGACAUGUACUUAGACAUUUGCAAUUUGAUGAAAUGAAUGAGAAAUUCAAUUCUGUUGUGAACAAUUGCCAAGUGGUUUGGAGGUUUGUCCAUGUAGUUUUGAGAAUGUAAUUUCUGUUUCAAGAAAUGAGCCAAACCAAUGGAGAAAAACUGUAAUGCGCCACUCACAGGGUUGGUGUUCCCUAACGGAAAUAUGCAGAUGCCAAUAGGAUAUCGCUAGCGCGUGCUUGGCUAUGCCCACCUCCUUGCUUGUUCUGCCUGCCCACUAUGACUCAUUUGUUCCCAUUGGAAACGACAAGUGGUCUAUAUUGGUUUAGUUAUAAAAACAAUAUUUGCAGGAACUGUUGUGACUAGACACAGAUUAUCCAUUAUAUUGACGAUAUACUAAAGUGACCGUUAUAACGGAUGGGGAAAAAAUAUCCUUAAAAAAUGGAAGGCAUCCUUGAGUCACGAUCAGGUGGGACCAUUGUUUGCCCCCGAGUGGCGAAGCAUCUCAGAGCUAGAGGCGUGACUCCAGUCCCUGGUUAGAAUCUAGGACAUAUCACAUCAGGCCGUGAAUGGGAGUCCCAUCGGGCGGCGCACAAUUGGCCCAGCGUCGCACUGGUUUGGCCGCCGCCAUUGCAAAGUGUGGCAGGUGACUUUGGCUGAGGGAAAGAGUGUGCAACAGACAAUAUCUAUUCUGCACAAGAAGUUGGAGCAGUGCGGUGCUGUGAAGCAGGAAGUUUUACUGUGGACUGUGAGAUUUACCAUGCCACAGGAAAUGCCAGGGGCCAGCCCACCAAACUCCUGUAUGUGAUGCAUAACUCAGAAACACCCCUGAGCUGCUUAGCCCUAUUUGAAGGGGGUCCCUGUCUGACAUGCUCAUGAUUAAGUUGAAGAGCCACUUCCAGAACGCCAAGGGGCACAAGGUAGAGAGCCGUGGCUCCCACCACCACUAUUGUGAUUUCCUGAUAAAGGUUGGCGCUGUAAUAAAAUCACAUUUUAAUCAGUGUCGAGGGGCAUUUCAGUAGAGUGUACUACAACUGUAUGGUCCCUGGGGACUGCUGAAACCUGAUGAAAGAGUUCAUGCAAAGCUUCCUGGGCCCCAGCAUCAUGGAGCUGCCUUCUGUGUUUGCCACCAUGCCUGAGGGCCUCUACGCGCCAGCGGACUGUGUUAACACCAUGACCCAGUACCUGAAGAUGUUCAGCAAAGUGCGCAAACAGUAGGUUCUCCCAGGGACCACACUUUGUCACAUGCUUCAUAGACAACAGGUGUAGACUAACAGUGAAAUACUUACUUAGGGGUCCUUUUCCAACAAUGCUGAGUUAAAGAUAAGAUUAAAAUAAAAAAGAUAACAUAAAUAGUGACACAGUGAAUAACGAAUAAAAAUAAUGAAUAAAAAAUAACAUGGCUAUACACUGAGUGUACAAAACAUUACAUAGCUACCUCAAUUACCUUGUACCCCUGCACAUCGACUCGGUACUGGUACUCCCUAUAUACAAGGUGCACCAGUACUGAGUCGAUGUGGAGGGGUACAGAGUAAUUGAGGUACCUGUAGGGGUAAAGUACUAGCAGCAGCAUAUCUCACUGGUCAUCCCCAAAGCCAACACCUCCUUUGGCCGCCUUUCCUUCCAGUUCUCUGCUGCCAGUGACUGGAACAAAUUGCAAAAAUCGCUGAAGCUGGAGACUUAUAUUUCCCUC